rnacentral:lncRNA from 1 species
AGCCCCCUCCUGUGAGCUCUGGGAGCUACAGAAUAAGGACACUCCUUGGCCCCAAGCCAGCCCCAGCUUGCUCGGGAGCCUGGGUUUCCCCCUCCGUCCCCAUCACCGCGAGGGUCUGUGCAUGGGAAUCUGCUCCAGAGGCUCCCUCAGGCGCCGCGCCGCGGGGAUACGCCUUUCACCGCCCCAGCAAUUGGAGCGCUGAGUCGAAGUCCUGAUUCCACGAUAGGCGGAUGAAGCCCUAACGCUGAAAUUCUUUCCUCUAGGUCUUUGGCAGCGGCUGGGGCCAAAGCCCGGGCAAGACCAACGCCUUCGGCACCCGGACUCAGGCUCCGUCCUCUCUGCCAGCGUGCGGCUACAAUGACUCGACAUGGCAGGUGGGCAAGCACAGCACGCCCCAACAGACAUGCUUUAUUUAAUAUGUACUAAAAAUACAGCAGGCCUGUGAAACCCACAGGUGCAAUUGCUUAAAAUGAGGCUAAGGUAGACGUGUGAAUGGUUAAUAAUGAGUUGAUUAAAAUAUUCAGAAAUCAUCUACUGGAGACGGGCAAACUGCAAAAUGGUAGCAUGGGAGCAACUGAUGUUCGAGAAAGCCCAGGCUCCGGCAAGCCGUGGGUUUGAAUUUACACAUGCGCACAUAAUGGGUAUGAAUAAACCUUUCUUCAAAAAAACCAGAUCAAGUCAAGGCAGUUAUUUGCUGUGGGCAGGUGCCAAGGCUGGCUGCUUCAGUCCCCACGCGAGUCGCCCCCGAGCCUGCUUCUGCAGCCCAGCCUGGAAAGUGCAAGGCACUUGGAAAGGAGCCACGCCCAACGCCCUGUACCAGCGGCCUCCCGGACACCAACAGCGUCCUCUGCGCCUGCUGCAGCUUGUCCCUUAGUCCUCCCUGGACAGAGGGCGUGAAGUUGGCUGCGCCAACAGGACGCGGCCCGCUCACUUCGGGGCUCAUUGUCCUGGACACACAGUCAGGGCUGGACGCCUCCAGCAGCCCCACGCUUCACCCCAAGGUCCGCAAACCUGACAACUUCGGAGGUAGGGAUAUCUUGACACAGUCUGAAAACAAACCAUUUAAAACUUUUUUUCUCAAAAAAUUAAAAUAAUUUUUUUCUGCUUACAAAAUCUAUAAAUUCAGUUCAAUAUCAAUGAAAAUCGCAACAGGAUGUUGACACUUGAGAAGCUGAUUUGAAAGUUCAUCUGAAAGAGAAAAUAUAUAGGAAUCCUGAAGAUGAUUUCGAAAACCUCCAAAAAGACUUCAGUAAUUCACACAGAAAAUCCAGAAACAGAUUCAUGUUUAUGGGGAAAUUUAGUAUUUGAUACAGGAGACCUUUCAAAGCCAAGCUGGAAAGAUGGAAGGUCAACAGAGGCUUUGGGGAAAACUCACUAUCCAUUUUGAAACCAAUGUUAGAAUCUUCUUACCAUUUGCAAGAAUAAACUCCAGGUGUAUUAAAGAGCUAAACAUUUAAAAAAUCUAUAAAAGUUUUAAAGCCAAAUAUGGAAGAAUAUUUUUAAAAUCCUAUGGUGAAGAAGGCUUUUACUAAGCAGCAAACAAAACCUGGAAACCGUAAAGGAAAUGACUGACAGAUUUGAAUAUUGCAAGAACUAAAUGAAUGCCUCCUUAAACAAAUUAAAGGACAAAUUCCAGGCAGGGAGAAAAUAGUUUACAAUAGAAGUAAUGUGCCAAUGGUUAAUAUCUGUGUUGCAUAAACAUGUCUUUCCAAUCAAUAAGAAAAGAGUAGGAAAUGGGUAAGGAUUUAACAGGCAAUUCACAGAAGACAAAGUAACCGGCCCCUAAAUGGGAGCAUAUCCUCAACUUCACUAGUAAUAAAGGAAACGAAUUUAAAAGACGAUACAUUUCUCACUUCUUCUCUCCUUAUAGCUGUAUUCCACCUUUGACCAUACAGCCUGUUUUUAUUUAUCGUAAGCAUAGGUUAAUAAAUACAGGGCUUACCAUGUUAAUAUCUUCUUUCUAUGGAUGCGUAACAACUUAUUUUAUCAUUCCGUUUGUGACUGAAAUUGAAUUUCUUUCUGUAAACCUGAAAAUAUCUGAGACAAGCCUCGAUCAACUUAGAAGUUUACUUUGCCAAGAUUAAGGACACGUCUUGGGAGACAGGUCUGUGCCUUUCUCCAAAGAUGAUUUCGAGGGCUUCAGUAUUUAAAGGAAAAAGCCAGCUGGAGGGGACAGAGGGAGGGUAUGGUCACAUUACUGAAUCCAAAUGUUGCAAAAGAAAAGGAGCAUGUAGGGGAAUGGUCAGUUAUGUGUUCGUCCCAUGCUCAGUAACUCGACUCUUCACACAAGAUAAGGUGAAUGCAGAGUGGAGAUCUUUAACCUUUUAUCUGUCUCUAUCUGCUUAGGAACAAAGGGAAAGGCAGCUUCUUGCAUGACUCCACUUUCAGCAUUUUUUUUUUCUUUUGGCGGAGGGAGUAGGGGUCCCAAGUUUUUAUUUUCCUUUCACAUUUCUAUUUUGCUUUUCUAUGAUCUGCUGCUGUAAGCUUCCCUAUAGCACAUUCCCAGGCUAGAAUCUCAUAGUGGGGACUGCCAGCUCACAGGGAAAGCACAGGGAUGCUUGGAUGCAGACAGGCAAGCCCAGCUCCAGGGCUGCACCUGUGGACCCCACCCCAGCCCAGCCCAGCCCCUGGAAGAGGGGGUCUGUCUGUCCCUGAUUGGCCCACCAGCACCCUGUGGUUCUUUCAAAGUUAUUUCUGACCUAUACUACUGUUUGCCCUAUUAGGGUGCCCCUUCCUUCCUUCCUUUCUUCCUUCCUACCUUCCUUCCUUCCUUCCUUCCUUCCUUCCUUCCUUCCUUCCUCUGUCUCACAAGAAUUCCUUUUACAGUUUGUCAUUUGCCAUUGUAUGUGGCUAAAUCUGUCAAACUUCAGCACUGUUUUCUAGCAUUGUUGCCAGGCUUAGCCUCCAUUCCAAGAUUACAGAAGCAUCCACCUGAAUUUUCUCCUAGAACUCUCACAGCUGCAGUACGUUCUGCUUUGGAGAAGGAAUGGCCCAAUUCCCUUCUGAAUCUGGAAGAAAACAGAACUGGGUCACUUUACAUAUUAUUUGGCCAUUUUAAAUUAUAUACCACUUUUACAUUUAAUGUAGCCAUUUGACGGAGUUACUUCAAAAUUUUCAUAUAAGCCUUGUCAAAAGGUCUCAUUCUGUACUUUUACCAUUUUUUUGAAUCUUUUUUAUCUUUAUCCACUUUCAUCUUGUUACAGGCCACUGCCUUCAGAGAAGGUGACAGAGGGCCAUGUCUGAAACAUUCUCCCACAACCAGGAACCCUCAGCAGCCGCUGAAGAGGAAAGGCAGUUAAAUGGAAAGACUUCUGAGCAAGUGGAGGAAAAGUCACGUGUGACCUAGGGAGGGGCUCCCACAGGAAGGGGCAAUGCCCUUGCCCUGUUCACCUAGCCUCCAGGUGGCUUCCCACUUGAAAUUUCAGAGGAUGGCAGAAACCUACUUACAAGGAAAUGAAAGAGGGCACAGCAACCUUAAGACCAGAGCAGCCCACGAUAUUUUUUAAUGAGGGCAAAAAUAGAAGACUUGCAAAAGACCCCUGAAAAUAAUGCCUGGAAGCUGCGAAACAUCAGACUGACACCGCACAAAAGAGGUCCAGCUGAGCAGGAGAAAAGCUUGAGAAGCAUCCAGAACAAUGUAGGUGGAGAGGCUAAGAAGAAAGAGGAGCCCACAUGGAAUGAAUAACCAAGGUCGGGACAGAGGAAGGUUCGCCAGAACUGGGAGGGCUGAAAUUGGACAUUGAGAUAAAUUAAAGAGUGUUCUUUAAAACUGUCAAGACUUUGGCUGGUCAAUAAGUAAACUGCAAACGAGUGUUCCUAAACCACAGCAGCAAUGCUCCCUGGAGGAGGGAAGGAGGCCGGGGCUGCCACUCUCCCAGGUGGCUGCGUCCCGGCCUUUGCCAUUGAUGUGUGCUUUCUCCAGGCUCACAGAUGUCCCUGGGCCGGUUGCAUCUGUGACCAGGACUCUGCCACCUGCCUGUGGCUUGCUGAUCAGCUGG